rnacentral:rRNA from 1 species
UACGAAGGGGGCUAGCGUUGUUCGGAAUUACUGGGCGUAAAGCGCGCGCAGGCGGUCCUUUAAGUCGGGGGUGAAAGCCCAGAGCUCAACUCUGGAACUGCCUUCGAAACUAGAGGACUUGGGUACGGGAGAGGUGAGUGGAAUUCCGAGUGUAGAGGUGAAAUUCGUAGAUAUCCGGAAGAACACCAGUGGCGAAGGCGGCUCACUGGCCCGUUACCGACGCUCAGGCGCGACAGCGUGGGGAGCAAACAGG